CGGGAGAAGGGGUGCUCUAUUAGGGUGCAAGCCCGAGAGAGCCGCAGUGAAUAGGCCCAGGCGACUGUUUAGCAAAAACACAGGUCUCUGCAAAACCGUAAGGUGACGUAUAGGGGCUGACGCCUGCCCGGUGCUGGAAGGUUAAGAGGAGUGCUUAGCUUCGGCGAAGGUACGAAUUGAAGCCCCAGUAAACGGCGGCCGUAACUAUAACGGUCCUAAGGUAGCGAAAUUCCUUGUCGGGUAAGUUCCGACCCGCACGAAAGGCGCAACGAUCUGGGCACUGUCUCAACGAGAGACUCGGUGAAAUUAUAGUACCUGUGAAGAUGCAGGUUACCCGCGACAGGACGGAAAGACCCCGUGGAGCUUUACUGCAACCUGAUAUGGAAUGUUUGUACCGCUUGUACAGGAUAGGUAGGAGCCGAAGAGACGUGUGCGCUAGCAUACGAGGAGGCAAUGGUGGGAUACUACCCUGGCUGUAUGACCAUUCUAACCCGCCACGCGUAGCGCGUGGGGAGACAGUGUCAGGUGGGCAGUUUGACUGGGGCGGUCGCCUCCUAAAGAGUAACGGAGGCGCCCAAAGGUUCCCUCAGAAUGGAUGGAAAUCAUUCGCAGAGUGUAAAGGCACAAG
rnacentral:rRNA from 1 species